UGGCGGACGGGUGAGUAACACGUGAGAAUUUACCUUUAGGAGGGGGAUAACAAUUGGAAACGAAUGCUAAUACCCCAUAUGCUUCAGAGUGAAAUGGAUUUAUAUUUAUCCGCCUAAAGAGAAGCUCGCGGCUGAUUAGCUUGUUGGUAAGGUAAGAGCUUACCAAGGCGACGAUCAGUAUCUGGUUUGAGAGGACGAUCAGACACACUGGAACUGAGACACGGUCCAGACUCCUACGGGAGGCAGCAGUGGGGAAUUUUCCGCAAUGGGCGAAAGCCUGACGGAGCAAUACCGCGUGAGGGAAGACUGCCUAUGGGUUGUAAACCUCUUUUUUCAGGGAGGAAUAAAAUGACGUGUACCUGAAGAAUAAGCAUCGGCUAACUCCGUGCCAGCAG
rnacentral:rRNA from 1 species